AACGAACGCUGGCGGCAUGCCUAACACAUGCAAGUCGAACGAGACCUUCGGGUCUAGUGGCGCACGUGUGCGUAACGCGUGGGAACCUGCCCUUGGGUUCGGAAUAACUCCCCGAAAGGGGUGCUAAUACCGGAUAAUGUCUUCGGACCAAAGAUUUAUCGCCUUUGGAUGGGCCCGCGUUGGAUUAGCUAGUUGGUAGGGUAAAAGCCUACCAAGGCGACGAUCCAUAGCUGGUCUGAGAGGAUGAUCAGCCACACUGGGACUGAGACACGGCCCAGACUCCUACGGGAGGCAGCAGUGGGGAAUAUUGGACAAUGGGCGAAAGCCUGAUCCAGCAAUGCCGCGUGAGUGAUGAAGGCCUUAGGGUUGUAAAGCUCUUUUACCCGGGAUGAUAAUGACAGUACCGGGAGAAUAAGCUCCGGCUAACUCCGUG
rnacentral:rRNA from 1 species